rnacentral:rRNA from 1 species
AACCAAAGCUGGCGACCGGCGCACGGGUGAGUAACACGUAUCCAACCUGCCUCAUACUCGGGGAUAGCCUUCGAAAGAAAGAUUAAUAUCCGAUAGCAUAUAUUUCCCGCAUGGGUUUUAUAUUAAAGAAAUUCGGUAUGAGAUGGGGAUGCGUUCCAUUAGUUUGUUGGGGGGGUAACGGCCCACCAAGACUACGAUGGAUAGGGGUUCUGAGAGGAAGGUCCCCCACAUUGGAACUGAGACACGGUCCAA